AUGGCCGGCUGCGUGACCACGGCGUUGACCAGCGGCGACCAUGGCCUGGCCGCGUGUGUGCGGCUGCGGUCAACGUCGGGCCACCUGAGCUCGCAGGAGCUCCGUCCUCGCACCCGUGGCGCGCGGCUUCCCCCGCCCCAGCAAGCUCCAUCUGCACGCACCUCCGCGCGGGCCGCUACUCCGCCCAGCUCCCUCGCGUGCCUCGCCGGCUCCGUCCUCGCGUCGCCCGGCUGCUCUGCCACCCGUCGCCGGCUUCCCCGCGCUUGUCGGAGGACGGCCUCACCUCCUCGGACCUCCGGGUCGCCCGCUCCGCGCCCGGCUACAACAGUGCGGCCGCCCUCGUCCCCACGCGUGGCUCGCCUGCGCGUGCCCGACGCCCACGCACUCGCCAACCACCUCGCAGCGCCCCCGCGCCGUGGUGGACCCCCUGCUCCGCCCCCGCGUGAUCGCGUCCGCCUGGUCUCCCCCGCACGCGGGACUCGCCGAUGUUUCAACUCCGAGCUGGAGACCCGCCUCUCCUCCACGCGACUGCCCGCGUCCGGCGUCCCACAACUCCGUCGUCGCCCCGCGCCCAGUCUCCGCACCCGGUGGCUGGGCGGGCCGGCUGCCGCCUUGGCGGCCUGCUCCGCCCGUCGCCUGCGCCGCGCCGGCUGCGGCCCCGUCCCGGCCUCCCGCGCCGACUGCAGGGUCGUGGUGCUUCGGCCGGCUGCUCUCCGCACCUGGCCGGCUCCCGCGCCCCUCUGGCCGGCCCCGGCCUCCGGCUCGCCGCGCCUGCCUGUCGGGUCUCCGCCCCGCAGCCUUCUCCAUCAAAGCCCCGUCCGGCUCCCCCAACCCGGCCGCUUGCUGUCUCCACCCCGAGCCGGACGGCUGGCUCCGCCGCCUGCCGGCUUCGCCCACCACCCGGCCGCCGGCUCCCCGUUCGCCUGGUGCUGUUUCCCACAUCCGGCUGCCCCACGCGAGGGAAAAAGGAAAAGUCAAGCCGACUGCUCCUCGCGAAAAAAAGAGAGAAAGAAAGCGACCUGGUGA
rnacentral:rRNA from 1 species